UACGAAGGGUGCAAACGUUGCUCGGAAUUAUUGGGCGUAAAGCGCACGUAGGCGGCUUUGUAAGUCGGAUGUGAAAUCCCACGGCUCAACCGUGGAAGUGCACUCGAAACUGGAUGGCUAGAGCCUGGAGAGGAAGGUGGAAUGCUUGGUGUAGAGGUGAAAUUCGUAGAUAUCAAGCGGAACACCGGUGGCGAAGGCGGCCUCUGGACAGUGACUGACGCUGAG
rnacentral:rRNA from 1 species